CAUUCAGUUUUCAUGCGAAAAAAAUUUGUUCGAAAAUUUCUUAACACAAUAAAAGCUUAUCACUAAUAUGCUUUACUACGAAUGCAUAAAGGGGAGUCAUUGAUAAGAUGCGAUGGUACAUUUCAACAGAUAACAAAACAACAUAUAAGGAGUUCUCAUAUUAAGUAAAGAAAAUGUAUUAGAAAUCAGUGGCGAAUCCAGGUUUUUAUGGUUGAGGUGCCCCCUUCAAUUAAGUUGGAUGAGAAAAAUAUUUAUAGUAACCCUAAAAAAUGUUACAACAUUUUUUUUUAUUUAAACAAAAUGAAGGAACAAACCGAGAAUGAAAAAACUGAAGUUAAAAUAAAAAAAAAUCCAAAAUAAAUAAAUAUUUUUAAGCAA